rnacentral:rRNA from 1 species
AGUGAACGCUGGCGGUAGGCCUAACACAUGCAAGUCGAACGGCAGCACAGUAAGAGCUUGCUCUUACGGGUGGCGAGUGGCGGACGGGUGAGUAAUACAUCGUAAUCUACUUUUUCGUGGGGGAUAACGUAGGGAAACUUACGCUAAUACCGCAUACGACCUACGGGUGAAAGCAGGGGAUCUUCGGACCUUGCGCGAUUGAAUGAGCCGAUGUCGGAUUAGCUAGUUGGCGGGGUAAAGGCCCACCAAGGCGACGAUCCGUAGCUGGUCUGAGAGGAUGAUCAGCCACACUGGAACUGAGACACGGUCCAGACUCCUACGGGAGGCAGCAGUGGGGAAUAUUGGACAAUGGGCGGAAGACUGAUCCAGCCAUACCGCGUGGGUGAAGAAGGCCUUCGGGUUGUAAAGCCGUUUUGUUGGGGAAGAAAAGCAGCAGGUUAAUACCCCGCUGUUCUGACGGUACCCAAAGAAUAAGCACCGGCUAACUUCGUG